rnacentral:rRNA from 1 species
GCGCAGCAGGCGCGAAACCUCCGCAAUGCGCGAAAGCGCGACGGGGCCACCCCGAGUGCCGCCCGCUGAGGGCGGCUUUUCCCCGGUGUAGACAGCCGGGGGAAUAAGGGGAGGGCAAGUCUGGUGUCAGCCGCCGCGGUAAUACCAGCUCCCCGAGUGGUGGGGACGAUUAUUGGGCCUAAAGCGUCCGUAGCCGGCCCGGCAAGUCUCCCGUUAAAUCCAGCGAUCUAAUCGCUGGACUGCGGGAGAUACUGUCGGGCUAGGGGGCGGGAGAGGCCGGCGGUAUUCCCGGGGUAGGGGUGAAAUCCUAUAAUCCCGGGAGGACCACCAGUGGCGAAGGCUGCCGGCUGGAACGCGCCCGACGGUGAGGGACAAAAGCCGGGGGAGCGAACCGGAUUAGAUACCCCGGUAGU